UCUGGAAGCACUGUCUCAUGUACAAUUGUUAAUGUUAUCUCUGAAAUGUCUAACAAAAUGUUGACUUGACCGUUUCAUCAAGAUCUGCGCAUCACAAGUUGGAACUAGUGGUCAAAAUUGGGACAAUGUUGCCCAAAAUAAAUGUUUUCAUGGAGUGAACAAGACCUGCCAACAGAGCUCACUGGAGCAGGGAGACAUCCCGUCAUCCCUUCGGCACCUGACAAAGAUUCAGAUCCUGCUGAACGAUGUUAAGCAGUCGAUUAACCACAUGCAGGGGAAGCUGAACACCAUGCAGGGGCAGUGUAUUGAGUUGCAGACUGCCAUAUCUAAGAUCAUCCCAGCAGCCGACGUUGCUGUACAGAGUGGGG